UCUUCAAUUUGUUUCCUGUUUCAGUAGGAAAUCAACACUAAAGAAAAAUGCAUUCACCAAGCCACCUCAUGAGGUCUUUAAACGGCUACCACAGACAUUGUGCAGGAUACAAUGAGAGCAGCCCAGGGAGGGAUCCCACGUAGUUCCCGGAAAAGACAGCAUCCCGUUGGCAGUAUUCCUUGUCAGCUGAGUGGAAAGGAUGGCAGAAGCACCACGCAGAGCAGGCGCAAGGGUCAGCACUGUGGAUCCGGCAGAGCAGCGACUAACGAUAUGCACAACAUUCAGAAAGAA